AUACGGAGGGGACAAGCGUUGUUCGGAAUCAUUGGGCGUAAAGCGGGUGUAGGCGGCUUGGCAAGUCGGGUGUGAAAUCCCUGGGCCCAACCCAGGAACUGCACUCGAAACUGCCUCGCUAGAGUCCCGGAGAGGGUGGCGGAAUUCCCGGUGUAGAGGUGAAAUUCGUAGAUAUCGGGAGGAACACCAGUGGCGAAGGCGGCCACCUGGACGGUGACUGACGCUCAGACCCGAAAGCGUGGGGAGCAAACAGGAUUAGAAACCCCGGUAGUCC
rnacentral:rRNA from 1 species